GUGUCAGCCGCCGCGGUAAUACGGAGGAUGCAGGCGUUAUCCGGAUUUAUUAGGUUUAAAGGGUGCGCAGGCGGCCUGUUAAGUCAGUGGUGAAAGUUUGCAGCUUAACUGUAAAAUUGCCAUUGAUACUGAUGGGCUUGAAUGUGGUAGAGGUAGGCGGAAUGUGUAGUGUAGCGGUGAAAUGCUUAGAUAUUACACAGAACACCGAUUGCGAAGGCAGCUUACUAUGCCAUGAUUGACGCUGAGGCACGAAAGCGUGGGUAGCGAACAGGAUUAGAUACCCGCGUAGUCC
rnacentral:rRNA from 1 species